UCACGAGGUGAGCACCCAGAGGCGGCGCU
rnacentral:sRNA from 1 species